UCCACAAUCAUAGAUUACUAUUUGUUUUAUUAGAAUAGCUUUUUUUUAUUAAUGUAAUAUCAAACAUUUUGUAAUGACGUAAACAACACGAGACAAUUGAAAUAUGGAUAAUUAUAAUAGGUGAUAAAUCGUUGAGUUAACAAUAAGAGUGGUUUUGUUGGUUCCUACUUAUAAGUUUAAUUAAUUAUCCCUUUGAUUGUUUUGAAUUUAUUUAAACUAUCUAUAGUGCAUGUAUGUAUUGUAGUACGAUUUACUCAUAUUUGUUGGUGUCUAGUGAUGUAAAUAACAACAAAAGUGCAAAAUAUAACCAACUUUGAUAGGAGGAAGCCCAGAGCAUUCAAACGUCUCGGAUGCUGCGGCAAUGUCUGUGAUUAGAUCUCUUAAUGACAUAGAUCCUCGUAUAGCUAUAACGAUACUAGAGGUCUUAUGAUCGGCUAUUACACAAAAAGCUUACUUCACAUAAAUGGUUCUUAAAACUUGCGAAGAGAAUAUCGUCAUCUGAUAAUUUUGACGUAUAUUUUACUCCGGAUAAAUGGCAAAAACAACAAUUGUCAUCCAGGAUAACUUCUCGUUUUUUUCUAACAAAAUACAAUUAUAUAAUAAUACUAGACCCGUAUAAAAAA